rnacentral:rRNA from 1 species
GAUGAACGCUGGCGGCGUGCCUAAUACAUGCAAGUCGAGCGAACGGACGAGAAUUUUUCUUCUGUGUUGUUAGCGGCGGACGGGUGAGUAACACGUGGAUAACCUACCUAUAAGACUUGGAUAACGUCGGGAGACUGGAGUUAAUACCGGAUAAUCUUUUCAACCGCAUGGUUCAAGAGUGAAAGAUGGUCUUUCUGUCACUUAUAGAUGUAUCCGCGCUGCAUUAGCUAGUUGGUAAGGUAAGGGCUUACCAAGGCAGCGAUGCGUAGCCGACGUGAGAGGGGGAUCGCCCGCACUAGAGGUGAGCCACGGUCCAGACGACUGCGAGAGGCAGCAGUAGGGAAUGUUCCGCAAUGGGCGAGAGCAUGACGGAACAAGGCAGAGUGAGAGAUGACGGUGUUCGGAGCGUGAAAAUGUGUUACGGGGGGAGAACAUAUGUGUAAAUGAAUGAGCCGAAAGUGACGGUACCUGAAGAGAAAGCACCGGCUAACUACGUG